GGUUCAUGUGGUUGUGUCAUAAAACGAGUGGCAGAGAUUAGGCUUGGGAGGGGAUAUGGUGCAGUUCUUGACACCAGCUUUUUGUGUAAAGGACGACUGUGGACAGUGGCUGAACUUGAAAGUUGUUUUGAGGCAGUGCCGGCCCUAGGCUGAGCCAAGGCGAAGUAGGCCCAGGCCUAGGGCCUUAGGUUUCAGGGGGCCUCAAAAAAAUUCUUUAUGUAGGCCUGCAAUUAAAAAAAAAAAAAAGAUAACAAAACAAUUUAAGAGAUUAAGCAUCUUCAUACACGCAACAGAGACGCACAAGGUGCAAUCAGAGUAUCGAAGUCGAAGAGAUUGUGUCUCAGAGACGAUGGAGCCACCAACCGAGCACCACAUCAAGCACUUCAAGUUCAUUUGUUUUUGAAGGAUCUCUUUCUCAAUCCAAGACAAAAAUCCAAUUGUGAUUGAACAUCCCAUAAGGUAAUUCUAUUUCCCAAUGGUGGCUGAAGACGAGAAGUCGAAAACCCAGAAGGAGACUAUGAGAGGAUCAGAAGAAAAAGUUGAAUUCAGGGAUUGAAGAGUUGAUUUUA